rnacentral:rRNA from 1 species
UACGUAGGGUGCAAGCGUUAAUCGGAAUUACUGGGCGUAAAGCGUGCGCAGGCGGUUAUGUAAGACAGGUGUGAAAUCCCCGGGCUUAACCUGGGAACUGCAUUUGUGACUGCAUCGCUAGAGUACGGUAGAGGGGGAUGGAAUUCCGCGUGUAGCAGUGAAAUGCGUAGAUAUCAGGAGGAACACCGAUGGCGAAGGCAGCUGCCCUGGCCUAACACUGACGCUGAGGUGCGAAAGCGUGGGGAGCGAACGGG